UUAAACUGAAGAGUUUGAUCCUGGCUCAGAUUGAACGCUGGCGGCAUGCCUUACACAUGCAAGUCGAACGGCAGCACGGGUGCUUGCACCUGGUGGCGAGUGGCGAACGGGUGAGUAAUACAUCGGAACAUGUCCUGUAGUGGGGGAUAGCCCGGCGAAAGCCGGAUUAAUACCGCAUACGAUCUACGGAUGAAAGCGGGGGACCUUCGGGCCUCGCGCUAUAGGGUUGGCCGAUGGCUGAUUAGCUAGUUGGUGGGGUAAAGGCCUACCAAGGCGACGAUCAGUAGCUGGUCUGAGAGGACGACCAGCCACAC
rnacentral:rRNA from 1 species